UAAAAUAAGAUCUUUGUAUUAGUUUCCUAGAACUGCCAUAACCAAGUACCACAAACAGGGUGGCUGAAAACAACGGACAUUUGUCUCUCUCAGUUGCGGAGGCCAGAAGUCUGAAAUCACGGUGUUAGCAGAGCCACGCUCCAUCUGAGACUCUGUGGAGAAUCCUUCCUUGCCUCUUCCUGGCUUCCGCUACAACCACAGAAGCCUACCUUGCAGUGGACACCUGCACAUUAAAUGUGUUAGUCUUGCAAUGCAGGAAUGAAGGCAACUAUGUCCUGCCUGAUACUCUUGCAGGUGUUCAGAAAAUAGACCGAAAUAAAUGUUAGAGGAGCAGGAAGUUUGGAGGUCAUGUUGUUAGGAUUGACACCUGUGGAAGGAAGGGAAAUAAGACUGAGAAGAGAGAAGCGGGCCCAUGGAGCAGUUGCAGCAGAGGCCUCAGCUCACCUACCACAGAGCUGUG
rnacentral:lncRNA from 10 species